rnacentral:lncRNA from 1 species
CAUGCAUUAUCGCCAUAUUGUGAUGCACUAUUUGUUGAUAUUAAAUAUUGCUUGAUUACUUGUGCUGUGAUAUUGUUGUGCCUUGUUUGUGUGGAAUUAGGAUGAAGUGGGUCACCAUGGGUUUGUGAGACUGUUACUGUAUAUGGAUCUUGAUACUGAUUACUGUUAGCCGGGUAAAUGGGAGAUCGGCGCCCCCGUGUGCACCUACUGUUACCGUUACUGUUAACCACAAGUUGGCUUCUUUAUUUGGGCGCACCGGAUAAUCUAGGUUUGAUCGCAGCCCGCAGGGUGGCCUCCUGUUGUGAGCGCCUGAUGAUCUAGAUUUGAAGGAGACGACCGGGUUGCUUCCUGUUGGUAU